AUUCCGAAGGUGAACCUGCGGAAGGAUCAUUCAUAAUAAAGUGUUUUAUGGCACUUUUUAAAAAUCCAUAUCCACCUUGUGUGCAAUGUUAGAUCUCGUCAAUCUUGGCGAGAUUUUUAUACAUCAACUCAUUCUUUAACUAAUUUGUCUGAAAAAUAUUAUGAAUACUUAAUUCAAAAUACAACUUUCAACAACGGAUCUCUUGGCUCUC
rnacentral:misc_RNA from 1 species